CCCGAUUCCUACAUAUAUGAUUCAAUUGGAAGUGGCUCUGCAGAUGGUGCUUGCAACCCAGAAGAAUUUGACUGCUAUAAUGGAAAUGUACAGGAUCGUUUUGGCAUGGAGGCGAUUGCCAGCUUGCAUCGUCAACUUGAUGAUGAUGAUAAUGGAAACAUUGAUUUGAGUGAAUCAGAUGAUGUAUGUUAAAUGAUUUUAUGACAAAUCCUCCAUAAUUUUA
rnacentral:sRNA from 15 species